rnacentral:rRNA from 1 species
UCCUACGGGAGGCAGCAGUAGGGAAUUUUCCGCAAUGGACGAAAGUCUGACGGAGCAACGCCGCGUGAGCGAUGAAGGCCUUCGGGUCGUAAAGCUCUGUUGUUAGGGAAGAACAAGUACCGUUCGAAUAGGGCGGUACCUUGACGGUACCUAACCAGAAAGCCACGGCUAACUACGUGCCAGCAGCCGCGGUAAUACGUAGGUGGCAAGCGUUGUCCGGAAUUAUUGGGCGUAAAGCGCGCGCAGGCGGUUCCUUAAGUCUGAUGUGAAAGCCCACGGCUCAACCGUGGAGGGUCAUUGGAAACUGGGGAACUUGAGUGCAGAAGAGGAAAGCGGAAUUCCACGUGUAGCGGUGAAAUGCGUAGAGAUGUGGAGGAACACCAGUGGCGAAGGCGGCUUUCUGGUCUGUAACUGACGCUGAGGCGCGAAAGCGUGGGGAGCAAACAGGAUUAGAUACCCUGGUAGUCCACGCCGUAAACGAUGAGUGCUAAGUGUUAGGGGGUUUCCGCCCCUUAGUGCUGCAC